rnacentral:rRNA from 1 species
UGAACGCUGGCGGCGUGCCUAAUACAUGCAAGUCGAGCGAACAGAUGAGGAGCUUGCUCCUCUGACGUUAGCGGCGGACGGGUGAGUAACACGUGGAUAACCUACCUAUAAGACUGGGAUAACUUCGGGAAACCGGAGCUAAUGCCGGAUAAUAUAUUGAACCGCAUGGUUCAAUAGUGAAAGACGGUUUUGCUGUCACUUAUAGAUGGAUCCGCGCCGCAUUAGCUAGUUGGUAAGGUAACGGCUUACCAAGGCAACGAUGCGUAGCCGACCUGAGAGGGUGAUCGGCCACACUGGAACUGAGACACGGUCCAGACUCCUACGGGAGGCAGCAGUAGGGAAUCUUCCGCAAUGGGCGAAAGCCUGACGGAGCAACGCCGCGUGAGUGAUGAAGGUCUUCGGAUCGUAAAACUCUGUUAUUAGGGAAGAACAAAUGUGUAAGUAACUAUGCACGUCUUGACGGUACCUAAUCAGAAAGCCACGGCUAACUACGUG